GACAGAGGGUGCAAACGUUGUUCGGAAUUACUGGGCGUAAAGCGAGUGUAGGCGGUUUGGUAAGUCGGAUGUGAAAGCCCUGGGCUCAACCCAGGAAGUGCAUUCGAUACUGUCAAGCUAGAGUAUCGGAGAGGUUGGUGGAAUUCUCGGUGUAGAGGUGAAAUUCGUAAAUAUCGAGAGGAACACCGGUGGCGAAGGCGGCCAACUGGACGAAUACUGACGCUGAGACUCGAAAGCGUGGGGAGCAAACAGG
rnacentral:rRNA from 1 species